UACGUAGGGUGCGAGCGUUGUCCGGAAUUAUUGGGCGUAAAGAGCUCGUAGGCGGUGUGUCGCGUCGGCCGUGAAAACCUGCAGCUUAACUGUGGGCUUGCGGUCGAUACGGGCAUCACUGGAGUUCGGCAGGGGAGACUGGAAUUCCUGGUGUAGCGGUGAAAUGCGCAGAUAUCAGGAGGAACACCGGUGGCGAAGGCAGGUCUCUGGGCCACUACUGACGCUGAGAAAGCGAAAGCAUGGGGAGCGAACAGG
rnacentral:rRNA from 1 species